GCCUUCGUGGUGUAGUGGUCAGCACGCUCGGCGCGUAUUCGAGAGGUCCAUGGUUCGAGUCCAGGCGAGGUCA
rfam:Stegodyphus mimosarum contig111095, whole genome shotgun sequence.